rnacentral:rRNA from 1 species
UACAGAGGUCUCAAGCGUUGUUCGGAUUCAUUGGGCGUAAAGGGUGCGUAGGCGGCGCGGUAAGUCGGGUGUGAAAUCUCGGAGCUUAACUCCGAAACUGCAUUCGAUACUGCCGUGCUUGAGGACUGGAGAGGAGACUGGAAUUUACGGUGUAGCGGUGAAAUGCGUAGAUAUCGUAAGGAAGACCAGUGGCGAAGGCGGGUCUCUGGACGACUCCUGACACUGAGGCACGAAAGCUAGGGGAGCAAACGGG